CCACGGACGCAGCAGUAGGGAAUCUUCCACAAUGGGCGAAAGCCUGAUGGAGCAACGCCGCGUGGGUGAAGAAGGUCUUCGGAUCGUAAAACCCUGUUGUUAGAGAAGAAAGUGCGUGAGAGUAACUGUUCACGUUUCGACGGUAUCUAACCAGAAAGCCACGGCUAACUACGUGCCAGCAGCCGCGGUAAUACGUAGGUGGCAAGCGUUAUCCGGAUUUAUUGGGCGUGAAGGGAACGCAGGCGGUCUUUUAAGUCUGAUGUGAAAGCCUUCGGCUUAACCGGAGUAGUGCAUUGGUAACUGGG
rnacentral:rRNA from 1 species